AAAUUCUUGACACAGUGGGGUUGAUGAACAAAAAUACUUGCCCAAUUGAUUAUGUGGGUGACAUGUGAACUCAUUACAGGAGGAAGAGAGGGAAAGAAGGAGCUGGAGAUGUCGAAGUUUUAGUUAGGGAAGACAGAAGUGAGGAAGAGAUUUUACAUAUCUGGAACUGAAAAAGUCUCCACCGAGCCUAGUAGUUAUCGAAACACUGAUCAAGUUUUGUUGUUGAAACAGGUUAUAGAAAUCUGAUCAACUGUACUAAGAUCAUGAAGGGGACAGAUUUUGGAAAUAGAUUUUUUUUUUUGGGAAAGAGGAAGAUCUACAAUCAAUGAACUCUCCAUCUCUCAAGCAAAGCAUCGUAUCUUUUUUCUGGAUUGGCUCAGUGUUCUCUGGCCGGUGGGUUUCCUUGAAGCCGUGUCUCUUAAUGGCCAUCACCGCAGCAGAAGCCAGCUGUGAGAGCAGACACCAGCUCGUUCCAGAUGUGGAAUGCUACGCAGAAGCACCAGAGGGCAAGUUUUAAGAGCUGAGGAUAGGGAUGCAGUAAAAAGAUUUUAAAAUCUUUAGUCUAUUCGGUUUCAUCUGAAGCAUUCUAAAAUGCAGGGUUCUCUACUUUGCACAAAGAAUCAAACUCCUGGCACAGAGUCUAAUUCCCACCUCUAAGUCAAUAUGGAGGGACCCAAUACAAGCAAAUGCUCAACUGGAGUUCAUA
ensembl:lncRNA